CUCUGCAGGAAAUAAGAGAGGAUCCCUCUGCUGAUCACUGUGUGCCACUUCGAGCUGCUGUGUGUGAGUGUGUCAGAGGGCUCGGGUGAAUUUCGACAACUUGGCACCGAGCACCCCUCUGCAUCCGAGCAUGUGGGAACAGGAAUAGCAAUAAACACACAGAGCUGCUCCAAGAAAAUAAUAGAAUGCCAUCGUGGUCACCGCUAAUCAUCUUCUAUCGACUCCCAACUGCUGAUCUCAACAAAACAUAAAUCACUUCAUGCUCUGACGUCAACACUCGGAACAGUGGAGGCUCCGGCUCUACCUGCACCGGACAAGCUGCCAGGAAGCAGCAGCAG